AGUGAACGCUGGCGGUAGGCCUAACACAUGCAAGUCGAACGGCAGCACAGUAAGAGCUUGCUCUUACGGGUGGCGAGUGGCGGACGGGUGAGGAAUACAUCGGAAUCUACUUUUUCGUGGGGGAUAACGUAGGGAAACUUACGCUAAUACCGCAUACGACCUACGGGUGAAAGCAGGGGAUCUUCGGACCUUGCGCGAUUGAAUGAGCCGAUGUCGGAUUAGCUAGUUGGCGGGGGAAAGGCCCACCAAGGCGACGAUCCGUAGCUGGUCUGAGAGGAUGGUCAGCCACACUGGAACUGAGACAAGGUCCCGACUCCUACGGGAGGCAGCAGUGGGGAAUUUUGGACCAUGGGCGCAAGCCUGAUCCAGCCAUACCGCGUGGGUGAAGAAGGCCUUCGGGUUGUAAAGCCCCUUUGUUGGGAAAGAAAAGCAGCAGGUUAAUACCCCGCUGUUCUGACGGUACCCAAAGAAUAAGCACCGGCUAACUUCGUG
rnacentral:rRNA from 1 species